rnacentral:rRNA from 1 species
UGGGGAAUCUUGGACAAUGGGGGCAACCCUGAUCCAGCCAUGCCGCGUGAGUGAUGAAGGCCUUAGGGUCGUAAAGCUCUUUCGCCUGUGAAGAUAAUGACGGUAGCAGGUAAAGAAACCCCGGCUAACUCCGUGCCAGCAGCCGCGGUAAUACGGAGGGGACUAGCGUUGUUCGGAAUUACUGGGCGUAAAGCGCACGUAGGCGGAUCGUUAAGUGAGGGGUGAAAUCCCAGGGCUCAACCCUGGAACUGCCUUUCAUACUGGCGAUCUGGAGUUCGAGAGAGGUGAGUGGAAUUCCGAGUGUAGAGGUGAAAUUCGUAGAUAUUCGGAGGAACACCAGUGGCGAAGGCGGCUCACUGGCUCGAUACUGACGCUGAGGUGCGAAAGCGUGGGGAGCAAACAGGAUUAGAUA